rnacentral:rRNA from 1 species
AUUGAACGCUGGCGGCGUGCUUAACACAUGCAAGUCGAUCGGUAACGCGGGGGCAACCCUGGCGACGAGAGGCGGACGGGUGAGGAACGCUUGGGAAUCUGCCUAUCAGCGGGGGACAACACGGGGAAACUCGUGCUAAUACCGCAUACGCUCUACGGAGGAAAGCCGGGGACCGCAAGGCCUGGCACUGAUAGAUGAGCCCAAGUCGGAUUAGCUAGUUGGCGGGUAACGCCACAAGGCGAUGAUCAGUAGCUGGUCCGAGAGGAUGAUCAGCCACACUGGGACUGAGACACGGCCCAGACUCCUACGGGUGGCUG